ACAGCAGUCGCCGCGGGAAUACGUAGGUGGCAAGCGUUGUCCGGAAUUAUUGGGCGUAAAGGGCUCGCAGGCGGUUUCUUAAGUCCGAUGUGAAAGCCCCCGGCUCAACCGGGGAGGGUCAUUGGAAACUGGGAAACUUGAGUGCAGAAGAGGAGAGUGGAAUUCCACGUGUAGCGGUGAAAUGCGUAGAGAUGUGGAGGAACACCAGUGGCGAAGGCGACUCUCUGGUCUGUAACUGACGCUGAGGAGCGAAAGCGUGGGGAGCGAACAGGAUUAGAUACCCCUGUAGUCCCUGUCUCUUAUAU
rnacentral:rRNA from 1 species